rnacentral:rRNA from 1 species
AACGAACGCUGGCGGCGUGCUUAACACAUGCAAGUCGAACGAGAAAGUUUCCUUCGGGAAACGAGUAGAGUGGCGCACGGGUGAGUAACGCGUAGGUAAUCUACCCUAAUAUUUGGGAUAACAUUGGGAAACUGGUGCUAAUACCGGAUACCCUUCUUUUCUGCUGGGUUAAGGAGGAAAGGUGGCCUCUUCAUGAAAGCUACCGUAUAAGGAUGAGCCUGCGUACCAUUAGCUAGUAGGUGGGGUAAUGGCCCACCUAGGCUACGAUGGUUAGCGGGUCUGAGAGGAUGAUCCGCCACACUGGAACUGGAACACGGACCAGACUCCUACGGGAGGCAGCAGUGAGGAAUAUUGCGCAAUGGGCGAAAGCCUGACGCAGCGACACCGCGUGAGGGAAGAAGGCCUUCGGGUCGUAAACCUCUGUCAGGGGGGAAGAAAUGCCAGUCGGCUAAUAUCCGGCCGGUUUGACGUACCCCCUAAGAAGCAU